AGGACCUGGUCAUUCCAGUAAUAAAUUUUCAUAAUGAAGACAAGGGUUUUAUGUGUUUAGCCGACGAUGUUUUUGAUGUGCCAAUUAGGAAGGAUAUUAUUCAUCGUGUUAUGAGAUGGCAGCUAGCAAAACGACAGCAGAGACUUACUGGGGAAAAAGGAGAAUCAGGAUGAUCAUUUUGAGGCAUAUGAAGACCACAGAAACUUAAAUGCCAUUGGGGGAAAAAUCGCCUUGCUAAAGAAAAUUGUUGCAGACGAAAAAUGAUCUAAGGCAGAUCAUUUAAAUCAAUCAGGGCCUCCUAUUCUCCUACAUGUGGAACCCAUUCAACUAAAACUAUUAGUGAAGUUACUGGACUGGUAGAAAAUCGUGAAGGCAGAAGGGAACUGGGCGAGCAUGGCUUGGAACACUGCGUGGUGCUCAUGUUCUACUUGUGUAUAUUGCUUUGAUGUAAAGAGUAUAUCUUUCUACUAAGUAAUUUUGAAUUAUUUUUUAGGACAAAAGUUUCCUAUAAAUGUAAAAUAUCCUACAUAAUCCCCUUCUCUUGAAGUUACAAUCUUUCAAAAUUGCCAAGUUCACAAUUACCUUGGUGGAACUUGUUCUGGAUCUAA